rnacentral:rRNA from 1 species
GACGAACGCUGGCGGCGUGCUUAACACAUGCAAGUCGAACGAUGAAGAAGAGAAACGCGAACUUCGGUUCAAAUUUCACUUCGGAUUAGUGGCAGACGGGUGAGUAACGCGUGAGCAACCUACCUCUUACAAAGGGAUAGCCUCGGGAAACCGUGAUUAAUACCAUAUGACACAUUCAUAAGGCAUCUUAAGAAUGUUAAAGCUACGGCGGUAAGAGAUGGGCUCGCGUCCCAUUAGCUAGUUGGUGAGGUAACGGCCCACCAAGGCGACGAUGGGUAACCGGCCUGAGAGGGUGAACGGUCACAUUGGAAAUGAGACACGGUCCAAACUCCUACGGGAGGCAGCAGUGGGGAAUAUUGCACAAUGGAGGGAACUCUGAUGCAGCGACGCCGCGUGGGCGAUGAAGGAAUUCGUUUCGUAAAGCUCUGUUCUAUGGGAAGAAAAGGACUGUACCAUAGGAGAAAGCCCCGGCUAAAUACGUG